AAGCAGCAUCAGUACAGCGGCGGUGCCGCGACAUUCACCAUGGUGCCGUCUGCUGGCGAUGUAGCGAGA
rfam:Trypanosoma rangeli SC58 Cont11029, whole genome shotgun sequence.